UACGUAGGGGGCAAGCGUUGUCCGGAUUUAUUGGGCGUAAAGCGCGUGUAGGCGGCCAGGUAGGUCCGUUGUGAAAACUCGAGGCUCAACCUCGAGACGCCGGUGGAAACCAUCAGGCUAGAGUCCGGAAGAGGAGAGUGGAAUUCCUGGUGUAGCAGUGAAAUGCGUAGAGAUCAUGAGGAAGACCAGUGGCGAAGGCGGGUCUCUGGACAGUUCCUGACACUGAGACACGAAGGCCAGGGGAGCAAACGGG
rnacentral:rRNA from 1 species